GGGGAUAUAACUCAGUUGGUAGAGUGUACGCUUUGCAAGCGUGAGGUCAAGAGUUCAAAUCUCUUUGUCUCCA
rnacentral:tRNA from 1 species